CAGGCACAUCAGCAAUCUGUUUCACUUUUGGUCAUCUCACUGACUGAUUGAUCGGAAUUUAGUGAACGGUUCUUUGGAUGGUGCAUGUCCCAUCCCAACUACUUUGGCUCAGCAAAUUAAAGAAGAGUAAAGAACUACACAGUCCCUUCUCCUCCCCAAAUGCUUAUAAGGGAAAAAUACAAUUCCUAAUUACAUAGAAAAUAUAGCUACCAUGGUAGCAAGAAGUAGAAAUAAAGGAGGCUGUAUUUGUACCUAUCAGGCAGCCUGGUAUCUACUGCAUUGAGACUCCAGUGCCAGAUGCGACUGCUGAUGCACUGAUCCUAUCAAAAUGAAGGGGGAGAAGAAGCUUUAAGUAGAAUUAGAGUUUAUAGCAAACCAAAACCAUUGUACCAAAUGUUUCCAUCAAUGUAACCAAUCUGCAGAGACAGAAAUUAGGUUGCCUGAUCAAUCCUUUUCCUGCCACAUCUGAUGGCUAUAGGAAUGAAGAGGAGAACUGAAUUUUCUUAAGAGUGAAUGCAAGCACAUAAAAUAAGGAAAAAAAUAACUAGAAGACUGUAGACAGUCAAAGAAGAAAAGAAAAGGCAAGGAAGAAAAGUCAACAGAAAGGAUCCUAGGGGUUCUUCUCUGUGUCACUGAAUCUUUGAGGAAACCAAAGAAUCUACAAAGGAACAAAGAAAAUACCUUUUGGAGAAGAAAAUACCUUCUCUUACAAUGGGAAGGAAGGAAAGACUUGAAGCUAAAAGUGGAAGCCAGAUACAAACAAAGUAAAACCAGUGAGAGAAGAUGAGAGAGAAGCUGCAGUA